CGUGAUCCGGGUUGGGGACAGUGCCUGGUGGGUAGUUUAACUGGGGCGGUUGCCUCCUAAAUGGUAACGGAGGCGCCCAAAGGUUUCCUCAGUCUGGUUGGCAAUCAGAUGGUGAGUGUAAGUGUAUAAGGGAGCUUGACUGUGACACUGACGGGUGGAGCAGGUGCGAAAGCAGGGACUAGUGAUCCGGCAUCUACGUGUGGUUGUGGUGUCGCUCAACGGAUAAAAGGUACCCCGGGGAUAACAGGCUGAUCUUCCCCAAGAGUUCAUAUCGACGGGAUGGUUUGGCACCUCGAUGUCGGCUCGUCGCAUCCUGGGGCUGGAGUAGGUCCCAAGGGUUGGGCUGUUCGCCCAUUAAAGCGGCACGCGAGCUGGGUUUAGAACGUCGUGAGACAGUUCGGUCUCUAUCCGCCGCGCGCGUUGAAACUUGAAGAAGGCUGUCCCUAGUACGAGAGGACCGGGAUGGACGUACCUCUGGUAUGCCAGUUGUCACGCCAGUGGCAUGGCUGGUUAGCUACGUGCGGGAGGGAUAACCGCUGAAAGCAUCUAAGCGGGAAGCCUGUUUUGAGAUGAGGUUUCUGUUGAGGUUCCCUGAAGAUGAUGGGGUUGAUAGGCCAGGGCUGUGAGCAUGGUGACGUGUUGGAGGUGACUGGUACUAAUACACCGACACAAAAAACCA
rnacentral:rRNA from 1 species